rnacentral:rRNA from 1 species
CGCCCUCUGGUUGAUCCUGGCGGAGGCCAUUGCUAUCGGUGUCCGAUUUAGCCAUGCGAGUUGUACGUUUACCGUAGCAAACUGCUCAGUAACACGUGGCCAAACUGCCCUAUGGACCGGAAUAACCUCGGGAAACUGAGGCUAAUUCCGGAUACCACAUUCAUCCUGGAACUGGAGAAUGUGCGAAAUGCUCCGGCGCCAUAGGAUGUGGCUGCGGCCGAUUAGGUAGACGGUGGGGUAACGGCCCACCGUGCCGAUAAUCGGUACCGGGUCAUGAGAAGUGAGAGCCCGGAGACGGACUCUGAGACACGAGUCCGGCCCUACGGGGCGCAGCAGGCGCGAAACCUUUACACUGCACGACAGUGCGAUAGGGGGACACCGAGUGCGAAGGGCAUAGAG